UACGGAGGGGACUAGCGUUGUUCGGAAUUACUGGGCGUAAAGCGCACGUAGGCGGAUUUGUAAGUCAGGGGUGAAAUCCCGGGGCUCAACCUCGGAACUGCCUUUGAUACUGCAAAUCUCGAGUCCGGAAGAGGUGAGUGGAAUUCCUAGUGUAGAGGUGAAAUUCGUAGAUAUUAGGAAGAACACCGGUGGCGAAGGCGGUCUGCUGGGGUAAUGCUGACACUGAUGCGCGACAGCGUGGGGAGCAAACAGG
rnacentral:rRNA from 1 species